AUUGCUUCUCGGCCUUUUGGCUAAGAUCAAGUGUAGUAUCUGUUCUUAUCAGUUUAAAGUUUUCAGUAUACAGUCUUGCACAUUUUUGGUUAAAUUUGCCCCUGAGUAUUUCAUAGUUUUGAUAAUAUUACAGCUUGUAUGAUUUAAAAAAAUUUAAUUCAAUUAUUUGUAGCUAGUAUACAGAACGAUA